rnacentral:rRNA from 1 species
UACGUAGGGGGCUAGCGUUGUCCGGAAUCAUUGGGCGUAAAGCGCGUGUAGGCGGCCCGGUAAGUCCGCUGUGAAAGUCCAGGGCUCAACCCUGGAAGGCCGGUGGAAACUGUCGGGCUAGAGUCCGGAAGAGGCGAGUGGAAUUCCCGGUGUAGCGGUGAAAUGCGCAGAUAUCGGGAGGAACACCAAUGGCGAAGGCAGCUCGCUGGGACGGUACUGACGCUGAGACGCGAAAGCGUGGGGAGCAAACAGG